rnacentral:lncRNA from 1 species
UGUUGAAUCUUUCUCAGAAAGUCCUGUGGACAAGAGGGGAUUUCCAAUGUGUAAUAAACUCUCUAAUAUAAAUAUUAUUUGUUUAACUCUCAUUUUAUGCAAGUUUCCGAGAUCUUAAUAAAUUAAGGGAAAGCUAUAACAAUAUAAAUUAGGAAAUGACAUAAUGGUGCAAGAGAGGUGUAAAAAAUAUAAAAUUGGAGUUCAGAGCAAGAAAUGUUACUUCUAGGUAGAAGCAAAAAGAAAGGCUUUUUGUAUCUUAUAACACUUAAACUGAGCCAUUCCAGGGUGUCAGGGCUUGGGGAUGUAGAAAUAGAGGAGAAGGUGUUCAAGAUACAAAGAACGAGAGCUAGGACGACAUUUGGACUUGGAGAAAUCAUGGAAUAGGUAUGGAGUUAGCACUUGUGAUUAUAUUAUCAAGAAAAGUCAUAAAGGACCUUGGGUGUCAAAAGGAAGUGGCUGAAAUAAAUACAAUACACUGGUAUUCUCUGUUUCUAUUACCAAAUAAAAAUCAAAUAUAUGUUUAUAUGGCUAUUAUGUAUACCGUGUCAUGGAUAUUGGAAUAGAGUAUUGAAAGCUUAUGACAAUGAGACUGUGCUAAGGUCUUGACUUUAUCCAUAUAACACACUGAUGUUAUUACUUAUAUUAAUUUCUUGACCUAAAUAGUGUCAAUAAAAUGAGGCAGAAUAAGACUGUGAGAAUAAGACUGUGGAGAAUAUGCAGACCUAGGUCUUCAUCUCUGCUUGGUCACCAGCUCAAGGAGUGACCUGAGGAAGGUCACUUCUUUGACUUGCUUGGUCCAUCUUCACAUUUGUCAUCGUGCAAGGUGGUUAUUUGAUGGUUGCUUUCCUAGCCUUUCCAAGUCUCUAAUCAUAUACACGUAAUCUCUCCAACUUUAUUUCAAAUAAAGUCAUUCAUUUUUGGGUACUGGCUAAGAGCAAAGAUUCCAUGUCUUUGGCGUGUGUAAACUCCCUUUGGGAGACAGCUAAUGCUGGAAGUGCUGCCACCAUUCAUAUGUGAUGGUAGUUGGUUUAAUUCUUGGGUUAAAGUGAAGAUUAACUAGCAAAACCUAUUUAAACCCUUGCUGUUAGCAAUAUAUUUCAAGUGUACCAGUUAACUUCAUCUUUUUUGUCUUGUUAGGGCCACACCCAUGGCUUAGGAAGUUUCUGGGCAAGGGGUUGAAUUGGAGCCAUAGCCACUGGCCUAUGCUACAGCCACAACAAUGUCAGAUCCAAGCCACAUCUGUGACCUAUGCUGAAGCGUGCAGCAAGGCCAGAUCCUUAACCCAAGGAUCUAACCUGUAUCCUCAUGGAUACUAGUUGGGUUCUUAACCUGCUGAACCACAACAGGAACUCCCCAAUUAACUUUUUUGAUCUAAGAAACAGUUUUUUUUUAAUAAGAAAUCAGGUAUUAAGGACUAUGCAUGUGUCAGCCUCUGAGAUAAUCACUAUGAAAUGUCAUCAUCAUAGCUAUCACUUAUUGAACAUUUAUUCUCUGCCAGGCACUGUUCUGAGAGCUUUACAUACAUAAUCCUAUCCAAUAUUCUCAAGAAACAUAAGAACUAGGAAAACUUGCAGUGGAUCAAAUGGUAUCCCCCCAAAAGAUAUGUCUAUGUCCUAACCCCUGGAAUCUAUGAAUAUUGUCUUAUUUGGAAAAAGGUCUUUACAGAUAUAAUCAAAUUAAGGAUCUUGAGAUGAAGAUAUCAUCUGGAUUAUUAAAAUGGGCCAUAAAUCCAAUGAAAAAUAUCCUAUAAGAGACACACAGAGGGGAGAUAUAUAAAGAAGAGGAAAAGGCUGUGUGACCAUGGAGGCAGAUAUUAUAAUGAUAUGGCCAUGAGUCUGAGAAUGCCUUGUGCCACCAGAAGCUGGAGGAGGCAAGGAACAGAUCAUUUCCUACAACCUUCAGAGAGAGAACAGCUCUCUUGCCCCUUAAUAUCAGACCUCUGGCUUUCAGAACUGUAAGAGAAUAAAUCUCUCUUAUCUUAAGCAACCAAGUUUGUGGUAGUUUGUUACAGCAGCCAAAAAACCAAUAUAUACAUCUAAUAAAUAUGAAAUCAAGAUUAAAAAAUAGAAUGUGAAAAUUAAAGUAUGAAUUCAUGAUAUGGAAAGGUCAGUUAAACUUACCUAAGAUCUCAUACUUGUAAAUGAGUCUGCAGGAGACUAAACCAGGCAGCUUUUAGAACUUUCUUUCAACCUUAAUAGAAUAUUGCACCUCAUUACUUUCUCAAUUUUGACAGAAUAUGUUAGCUACUGGCCACAUUACACUCUGGAAAGUGCUUUGAAAGCAGGGGCAAACAUAAAGUGCUAUAGGAGCACAUGAAGGGCAUAUAACCCAGUUUUGGAGAGUAUCAGGGAAGUUAUCCUAGAGGAGAUGAUGGCUGUCGGGCUGAUUUUUCAUGGUGAAGGUACCUUUUCAGAUUAUAAAGUGGGGUAAGUUUCCCAAACAGAGAGAUCAAGUGUAGAGGGAGAUAAAGAGCAAAGCACCCUUUGGGAACUGCAAUAGUUAGACAUGGCCCAAGGGAUUCUGAAAGAAAGAUAGGAGGUGUGACAGAAGAUCAAGGUGAAGAAGAGGUGAUGGUGGGUCUCUAUAGGGCCAUAGAUGGUAGACGCCUCAGGCAGCUGGAGAGAUAGGAUAACUUGGUGCAGGUGAUUCUGUGAUCAGAUCAGUCUUUUAUGGACCCACAGUGAGAGGUAUCCUGAAGGACAAAAAAGAGUGGGUUGAGAGCAGAGGUGAACUAUCCUACAGCAAUAAAUGAGAUGUGCGUUAGAGUGCUGGAGAUGGUGAUGGAGAGGAGAAAGCACAGUGAGCAGACAGAUAUUAUUAAGAGGUGAUGUGAGUAAGAUUCAAUGACUAGUAUGAUUUAAAAGACAAGAGGAAGGAGGGGUAUGGACUGCCUUGCAGGUUUCAGGUUUGGGGAACUGCUGAUACAACAAAUGCAGGAGACAUUCAACUGGGAGUAGUGGCCAGAUGGAAUAGGAGAUAGUGAGUGUAGAUAAACAUUUUGGUGAUGGUUGAGGAGCUCCCAUGGCUUUAAUUCUAAAUAUAUGAAAGUGUACAUAUUUAUCAUGGCUUUGGAAUUACACCGUAGAAAUUGAAUUUGCAGUGUACUCCAAGAGAAGGAAGGCAAAGGCAACUGACACCGAUGACAUACAAGAGAUUGGGUGUAGAACUUACACUGUCUUGUUUGAUCCUGCAAAUAGGACUUAGAGAAGAGACUUGUGGAUGCCAAGGGGGAGGAGAGACAGAGUGGGAAGGAAGGGUGUUUGGGAUUAGUAGCUGCAAACUGCUACAUUUAGGUGGAUAAGCAAUGAGACCCUACUCUAUAGUACAGGGAGCUAUAUUCAGUCUCUUGGGAUAGACCAUGAUGGAAGAUAAUAUGAUAAAAUUAAUGUAUAUGGGAGAGAGGAUUAAGAUGGCGGAAUAGAAGGACUGGAGCUCCAACUUAUCUCCUAAAAAACAACAAAAUUCACAACUAAAGCCUGAGCAAUAUCCACCCAAAUGGACUGGAAACCUUAAAAAAGAUACCCUACUCCAGAAGAAAAAGAGGAGGCCACAUCAAGAGGUAGGAGGGGCAAUUUUGUGAUAUAAACAACCCCAUACCUCUGGGGUGGGAAGCUCCACAGACUGAAAACUAACUGGUUCACAGAGACUCACCUACAGGAGUGAGAGUUCUGAGCCCCACAUCAAACCCUCACAUGUGGGGACCUGGCACUGGGAGAAAGAGCCCCUGGAGCAGCUGGCAUUGAAGGCCAGUGAGGCUUGUGCACAGGAGCCCCACAGGACUGGGGGAAACGGAGACCCCGUUCUUAAAAGGUGCACACAGACUUUCAUGUGUACUGGGUCCCAGGGCAAAGCGAUGUCUCCAUAGGAAUCUGGGUCAAACCUGACCACAGUUCUUGGAGGACAUCCUGGGAAAACAGGGGUGAAUGUGGCUUGUUAUGAGGGGACGGACAUCAAAAGCAAAGCUCUCAGGAAUAUUCAGCAGCUUGCCUGUCUCUGUAGGUGGCCAUUUUGAGAAAAUCUGGCCCCACCCGUCAGUCAGUGCUGAGAAGCCCCAGGGCAAACAAUAAUCCAGGUGGGAUCACAGCCCCACCCCUUAGUAAACAGGCUACCUAAAGACUCCCUCAGGCACACAGCUGCCUCUAAUCUCAUUGAGAGACGAAGCCCCACCCACCAGAGGGAUUAGAAUCAGCUCCACCUACCAGUGGGCAGGCAUCCGCCCCCCCCCAUCAGGAAGCCUACAGCAAGCCCCCAUACUGACUUCAGCCACAAUGGGGGCAGACGCCAGAAGUAAGAGAGGCUACAUCUCUAUUAUCUGUAAAAAGUCACCACACCAAAAACCUAUAAAAAUGAAAAGACAGAGAACUAUAACUCAGAUGAGGGAGAAAGGAAAAACCCCAGAAAAUCAGCUAAGCGAGGAGAAGAUUCUCAGCAUCCAGGAAAAAGACUUCAGACUGUUGAUGCUGAAGAUGAUGCAAGACAUUGGAAAUAAACUGGAGGAAAAGAUGGAUAACUUACAGGAAACACUGAGCAAAGAGAGACAAGAUAUAAAACUUAAACAAGAAGAGAUGCAAAAUACAAUAACUGAAAUAAAAAAUUCACUAGAAGCAGUCAACAGCAGAAUAAAGGAGGCAGAAGAAUGAAUAAGCAAUAAGCGAGGUGGAGGACAGAUUAGUGGAAAUUAUGGAUGCAGAACAGAAAAGAGAAAAAAGAUUGAAAACAAAUGAAGAGAGUCUCAGAGAACUCUGCGACAAUACUAAACACACCAACAUCCGUAUUAUAGGGGUGCCAGAAGGAGGAGAGAGAAGGGGACAGAAAAAAUAUUCCAAGAGAUAAUAGCCAAAAACUUCCCUCACAUGGGAAAGGAACCACUUACUCAAAUCCAGGAAGCACAACGACUACCAUAUAAAAUAAACCCAAGGAGGAAUACACCAAGACACAUAUUAGUCAAACUGACCAAAAUUAAAGACAAAGAGAAAAACUUAAAACAAUCUCAUAUACAUAUAGACUCUUAUAUCAAACCUUCAGAAUGACUGCAAACCAAAAAUCUACAAUUGAUACACAAACAUGGAAUCUCUGGAGAAGAAAUAUAUCUCAUAGUAAAUAAGUACAUAAUCCACCAUGAAGGGCGUCAUUUGACAUCAUUCUUGGAAUGCUGAAGUCCUCUUAGAUCUGAUUCUGAUUUCUUCUACAUCAAAGAAUUUAUGAUAAUUAUAAUUAAUGAAUGCAGCUGUGCAAUUAAAUAAUACAGUUCUACAAUUGUAUUAUUAAUAACCAUUUCUCUCCAUGGUACAAUGUAAGGUCUAUAAUAUCUUGUUUAUCACAUCACCUAGAAUGGUGUAAUGCCUAUAUUGAAGAAUCAAUAAGAUGUAACAAAUUGUGAGGACAUAUUUAUAUAGUUACACUGUUUUUUUAAAAAAUUUAUGCAUUUUAUAUUUUACUUAUUUUCAGAGGGUGUAUUAUUUUUGUUAUUCUUACCAGUUAAGUUAUUCUUUUUAUUAUGCUAUAUAAAAUAUUUAAUGGUUAAAAAAAAAAAAAGAAAGAAAAGCCAGGGAUGGAACCGAGUCCUCAUGGAUACUAGUCAGGUUCAUUACUGCUGAGCCACAAUGGGAACUCCAUUUUUUGUUUGUUUUUAAUGACAUAAAUGUUUAUCAAGGUGCAUGCUCCAGGGCAGAGGAAGGCACAGCUAAUUUUUGUGGGCUACCAAGAAAGAUCAGAAAAUUUUUUCCCUGGCAGUUUUAUUGUGGCACAGUGGGUUAAGGAUCCAGUGUUGUUACCGCAGCACCUCAGGUCAGUGCUGUGGCAUGGGCUCCAUCCCUGGUCCAGGAGCUUUCACAUGCAGCAGGUGCAGCCAAAACAAAACAAAACAAACAAAAUAAAAGCCCUAAACUAAUGAAAAAAAUUUUUCCCUUUUAAACUGUAAAAAAAAAAAAAAGAAAAAA